rnacentral:lncRNA from 1 species
UUGGUACUUCGUAAUCACUUAAAAUUAGUGAGGAAAAUUGUUUCCAUGAAGAAAAUCCAAGCCGAGGCGCUUCCGUAACGUUUUUGUAACGUUUUCGUGGGUGAUUUCGCAAAGAUUUUCAACCGUUCUUCGUUGUUCGUCGUUCGUUCUUCGUCGUUCUUCUGUCUUCAACCGGUAAGUUCCCGAAAUCGAACUUUUCAAUUCAUUCUAUAUACCCUUGGUGGUCCCCAUUUGUUUCGC